rnacentral:rRNA from 1 species
GGACCCGACUGCUAUCAAAGUGGGACUAACCCACGCGAGUCAACAUAGCAAUAUGUGGCAUACGGCUCAUUAACACGUAGUCAACAUGCCCAGGGGACGUGGAUAACCUCGGGAAACUGAGGAUAAACCGCGAUAAGUCACUGCUUCUGGAAUGGGUAGUGACUUAAAUCUAUAUGGCCCCUGAAUUGGACUGCGGCCAAUCAGGCUGUUGGUGAGGUAAUGGCCCACCAAACCUGUAACCGGUACGGGCUCUGAGAGGAGGAGCCCGGAGAUGGGCACUGAGACAAGGGCCCAGGCCCUAUGGGGCGCAGCAGGCGCGAAACCUCUGCAAUAGGCGAAAGCCUGACAGGGUUACUCUGAGUGAUUUCCGUUAAGGAGAUCUUUUGGCACCUCUAAAAAUGGUGCAAAAUAAGGGGUGGGCAAGUCUGGUGU